rnacentral:rRNA from 1 species
UCGGAUCAGGUAGGGAUACCCGCUGAACUUAAGCAUAU